rnacentral:tRNA from 1 species
AUCUGUAGCUCAGCUGGAUAGAGCAACUGACUUCGGAUCAGUAGGUCGGGGGUUCGAAUCCCUCCAGGU